rnacentral:rRNA from 1 species
AUUGAACGCUGGCGGCAGGCCUAACACAUGCAAGUCGAGCGGCAGAAGGGUGCUUGCUUCUGGUUUCAGCGGCGGGCGGGUGAGUAAUGCCUAGGAAUCUCCCUGGCUGUGGUGUAUAACGUCAGGACACGGGCGCUAAUACCGCAUACGUCCUGAGGGAGAAAGUGGGGGAUCUUCGGACCUUACGCUAUCAGGUGAGCCGAGGUCGGAAUGGCUAGUUGGUGGGGUAAAGGCCUACCAAGGCGACGAUCCGUAACUGGUCUGAGAGGAUGAUCAGCCACACUGGAACUGAGACACGGUCCAGACUCCUACGGGAGGCAGCAGUGGGGAAUAUUGGACAAUGGGCGAAAGCCUGAUCCAGCCAUACCGCGUGGGUGAAGAAGGUCUUCGGAUUGUAAAGCACUUUAGUUGGGGAGGAAAGGCAGUAGGUUAAUACCUUGCUGUUUUGACGGUACCAACAGAAUAAGCACCGGCUAACUUCGUG